rnacentral:lncRNA from 1 species
AAAAAAAAACUAAAUUCUUUGUCUAAAUUAUUCUGCUGAGAAGUUCUGGAGCCCUACUGUCAAAUAGGAGCACUAGAUGAGUCACGUGCACAGCACGUGUCAAGCUUGUAUGAGACGCAGGAUCCUAUCACCAGCACUGAGAAUAAAACUUCAAGUGUCCACAUUUUUUGAGAUGCAUUAAGAAGGCUGUGGCCGGGCAGUGGUGGCGCACGCCUUUAAUCCCAGCACUCGGGAGGCAGAGGCAGGCAGAUUUCUGAGUUCGAGGCCAACCUGGUCUACAGAGUGAGUUCCAGGACAGCCAGGGCUACACAGAGAAACCCUGUCUCGGAAAACCAAAAAAAAAAAAAAAAAAGGCUGUGGCAGUAGGGUUGUGAGCUCCAGGCCAGGCUGCGAUACAUUAAAAAACAAACAAACAAACAACCUCUGUCUCAAAAAAAGGCGGGGGUGGGCGUCCAAGGAGAUGGCUCAGUGAGUCAAGAUGGUUGCAGCCAAGCCUGGCGACCUGAGUUUGAUCCCUGUGUUCUACAUGGUGACAUGGUGGAAGAAGAGAACCAGCUCCUGCAAGUUGUCCUCUGCCCCCACAUGUGUGCCUUGGCAUGUGUGCAUGCACACGUGCACACACACACACACACACACACACACACGCACAUAUACAAUAAAUAAAUGAAAAUAUAAUAAAACAUUAAAGAACAUGUAAAAUUAAUCUUAAUCAUAUAUUUUGCCUGCAUGUACAUCUGUGUACCAUGCGUGUGUGUGGUACCAGCAGAAGUCAGCAGAGGGCGCUGAGUUCCUUGGAACUGAGGGUAUGGGUGUUGUGAGCCACUAUGUGGGAAAUGAAGCUUGGUCUUGGUCGUCUGCAAGAGCACUUAAGUUUGUUGUUGUUGUUGUUGUUGUUGUUGUUGUUGUAUGAUUGUUUGAGGUUUUUUUUUUUUUUUUUUCCCCAGACAGGGUCUCUCUGUGUAGCCCUGGCUGUCCUGGAAUUAACUCUGUAGACCAGGCUGGCCUCGAACUCAGACUGCCUCUGCCUCCCAGUGUUGGGAUUAAAGACGUGGACUGCCUGGUGAACUAAGUGCCUUUCACCACUAAGCCAUUUCUCCAGCCUCAGACCUUUAAUCGUGUAUAUUUUAACUCAAUAUUUCCCAAACUGUGCCAUUGCUACAUAUGUUAAUAUAAAAGAUUGGUAACAGCC